ensembl:lncRNA
CAUUUUUCAAUACAAUUAAGUUUUAUUAAAUACACUUUGCAAAGAUUAUACAGUAAUUAGUAUUGGAGAAGUUGGAAAGUUGAUCUCUUUUUUCUGAAAACCUAUUAGUAAUAUGAGUAAAAAAAAAAAUCAACGCAUACAAUACUUAGGUGUAAAAUAGCACAUAUUAAAAACAGAACAUUUUAAUGUUUAUAAGGCAAAUAUAAAAAUAUCACACUAUAACUUCAUUGUCAACCAUGUGUACAUUAUGAGUCUGAAAGUAUGAAUCUGAUUUUUUUUUUUGUCAGUUCAUUAAUCAGAAAUCAGUUGAACGACAAGACGUUUUUCUCAUUUACUGGCACGGGGUAGCCAUUGUUAUUCAAGUGUUCCCAUUGUCCUGUCAUUCUCUGCUCUUUUCUUCCAGUGAGAAAGUGAGAAUUCAUAUCCUCCUUCAUCUCAUCCUGCUUUCUCCGGAAUUCUUCGAGUUCAAGUUUCAUUUUAAGGACCUGCAUUCUCUCCUGAUCUAUCUUUGCUUGCUGUUUUUUUAAACAGUUCCUCGCCUUCCUUAGCUCCUCCUUCUCUUUUUCCACUUGUUUUUCUUUGCUUUCCAGCUCUCUCCACCUCUCUUCUAGCAGAAGGUGCACUAAUUUGUUGUUUUCUUUGUCCACUUCAAACAUCUGAAACACUCUGUCUUUUUCUGCAAUGGAAAAAUAUGGGAGGUUAAAAAUUUUGUAUAGGCGCAUCAAACACAGAAAAUAGUCAAAGGUUAUUAUAAUACAUAAGGGGUGGACAAAUCAUAAAUUCAUUAGCUAGUCCACCAGCCAAAGGUUCCAGUGUCUUUGCACACUACUUAAUACAGACUAAGGGAAACAAACGAGUAUAUAAAUGUCACUUGGGGAGACUAAUUUAAACCCAGCAUUUAAAUGUAAAAAAAAUUAAAUAAAAUAAAUACUGAAAUAUAAAUCAGAAAAAUGCUAAAUGGAAAUGACAACAAAAUAUUUGAAAACAAAAACACCUAAAAGAUAAAUUAUUUAAACCAAAUUUUCAAUUUGAAUUGGGGUUGAUACUGAUAAGUCAUGAAUAAAUGCUUAAUCACUAAAUGCUGUUUAAGAACCUGUGUUCAUAAAUGUUUUACAAUUCAUAAUUCAAGUCCAACAAAGGAAACUGGUUACAAGAUUGACUGACCUAGCUCACGGUACAGUAAAGGCUCACAGUGGAAAAGCAAAUUGUAGAACCCGUCGCUCUGUUUCAUCCCAUGCUGCUCCAGAACUCUGAACAUGGCGUGCAUAGAGUGUUGUAGUUAACUGGGAUGUUUGGGUGCUGUUACCCGCACCUGCACCCCCCCGCCAGUAAUCUGGGCUAUUCAACAGCAAUGUUUGGGUGUAUA